AACUUUCAACAACGGAUCUCUUGGUUCUGGCAUCGAUGAAGAACGCAGCGAAAUGCGAUAAGUAAUGUGAAUUGCAGAAUUCAGUGAAUCAUCGAAUCUUUGAACGCACAUUGCGCCCGCCAGUAUUCUGGCGGGCAUGCCUGUUCGAGCGUC
rnacentral:rRNA from 2 species